CAGAGCCAGGGGAAAGUCUGCCCUCAGCUGUGUGAAAGACUGGCAUUACACGAGGAAAUAUAUGGUGCCCACCUCUCACAACCACAGAUAUUUCAGCAGAAGGGGAUGCUCCCUCCUAUCCAGGACGCUGGCGCUGCCAGGCACCCCGCAGCUGCUGAGGGGGGCAGCCAGCCUGGGCAGAAGCCCAUGGGAGAGGAGCCCGUGUCUGGAGCCUGUCCCCAGCGGAGGAGGAGGAGUCUGGUGGAGAAAAGGGGCUAUGCGGAACGUUUUCAUGACCAGCUCAAGGCCCAGGCCCAGAAAGCCCAGCCUACUGAAGUUACUUCUGGAGGACUAGGUGCCCCGGAACUCCCCCUACUGGUGAAGAAGAGAGGUGACAGAAGAUAGUCAAUUCAGCAAGGGUUGAGAGUGGAACAGCCCUCGACUCGCCAUGCCGUGGACACAAAUAACAAGUCUCACCUCAGUGCAGAGAGACAAAGUAAAAGGAGCAAGAGAGAGAGAGAGAGAGAGACAGAGAGAGAGAGAGAGAGAGAGAUAGAGAGAUGUUGCUUUUUAUCUCUGGCCUACAAAUAAAGACAAAUCGCUCGGUUCAAAAAGGCAUGUGAUCUAAUUGUGAAGCAUUCAUGAGAGGCUUUUGUAGU